rnacentral:misc_RNA from 1 species
GCGCAAGCGGUUGCGGUCGCCGAGGGAAUCACAGCGCCAACUUUCCUUGAAGGGCUAAUGGGACAGCGGCGGAAAUGAUUUCUUCGCCAC